UGCCAGCCGCCGCGGUAACACGGGGGGCGCAAGCGUUAUUCGGAAUUAUUGGGCGUAAAGGGCGCGUAGGCGGUCUUGUCGGUCAGAUGUGAAAGCCCAGGGCUCAACCCUGGACGUGCAUUUGAAACAGCAAGACUUGAAUACUGGAGAGGAAAGCGGAAUUCCUGGUGUAGAGGUGAAAUUCGUAGAUAUCAGGAGGAACACCGAUGGCGAAGGCGACUUCCUGGGCCAAUACUGACGCUGAGGCGCGAAAGCGUGGGUAGCAAACAGGAUUAGAUA
rnacentral:rRNA from 1 species